rnacentral:rRNA from 1 species
AUUUGCAGAGGAUGCUUUUGGCGCGGUGCCUUCCGAGUUCCCUGGAACGGGACGCCUUAGAGGGUGAGAGCCCCGUACGGUUGGACACCAAGCCUCUGUAAAGCUCCUUCGACGAGUCGAGUAGUUUGGGAAUGCUGCUCUAAAUGGGAGGUAAAUUUCUUCUAAAGCUAAAUAUUGGCCAGAGACCGAUAGCGCACAAGUAGAGUGAUCGAAAGAUGAAAAGCACUUUGAAAAGAGGGUUAAACAGCACGUGAAAUUGUUGAAAGGGAAGCGUUUGCGACCAGACCUCUUCCCGGCGGAUCAUCCGGUGGUUUCCACCGGUGCACUUCGCCGGGUCGAGGCCAGCAUCGGUCUCUGCAGGGGGAUAAAAGCCCUGGGAACGUAGCUCCUCCGGGAGUGUUAUAGCCCUUCGCAUAAUACCCUUGCGGGGACCGAGGACCGCGCCUUCGGGCAAGGAUGCUGGCGUAAUGGUCGUCAACGACCCGUCUUGAAA